UACGGAGGGUGCGAGCGUUGUCCGGAAUCACUGGGCGUAAAGGGCGCGUAGGUGGCGCGGGCAGUCAACGGUGAAAGUUCGGGGCUCAACCCUGAAUCGGCCGUCGAUACUCCCGGGCUGGAGCACUGUAGAGGCUAAUGGAAUUCCGGGUGUAGCGGUGGAAUGCGUAGAGAUCCGGAAGAACACCGGUGGCGAAGGCGGUUAGCUGGGCAGUUGCUGACACUGAGGCGCGACAGCGUGGGAGCGAACGAGG
rnacentral:rRNA from 1 species